CCUGUAAUCAUUAUAAAAAGUAUGGGUAUGAAGAGGGGGAAAAGGUGGAAAAGAAGGCUUCUUAUAAUGAAUGAUAGCUUAUUCAGUGAAGAUGGCUACAAAGCCAGGAGAAUCCUCUCUGAAUGAUGAGAAAAACCAAGACCCAGAUAAAGAAAGUCAGCAUGUCUUCACUGGUGAUUUAUUGUAGUGGUUUGAAUGAGCACUGUCUCCCACGGGCUCGUGUGUUUGAGCACUUAGUCUCCAGCAGGUGGUGCUGUUUGGGGAGGCUAUGAAGCCUCCAGGAGAUGGAGUCUUGGUGGAAGUACAUAACUUGGAAUAAGCUUUGAUGGUUUAUAAUAUGAACCUUCUUCUAGUUCAAUUUCUCUGUUUCCUGUAUGUGUAGAAAAGGCUGACCUCUCAGCUUCUUGCUCCAGGCACCUGAUUCUAUGCUUUCCUCGGGAUCAUGGACUCUCUUUCUGGAACCGUAAUAAAUAAAAGCAAACUCUUCUCGCUAGGAGUUGCUUUUCCUUGUGGUGUUUGAUCACAGCAACGCAAGGGUAACGAACGUGGAGUCCUUGCAGGUUGUGCAAAUAUCACCUUCCCCAUUUAAUGUGAGGUGAACACCAGUGGGAGAAAAUGUGGCUGUGGCAAAUGGAGGAAGAGGAGGAAGGCGAAUGUGGUGAGAUAGGCAGUGUCGAGCCCACCUCGUCCAGUAAGGAAGACGCAACACCGUCGGAUCCUUGUCAACAGCCUUUAUUGCAGGACACCUUCAUUGCUGAUACGGGGGACCCAAGCAGCAAGAGCACUCGCCUUAUAUAGACAGCAGGCUGAGGCUAUGCUAAUUGUCAGGGAUUGGCGGAGCAUGAAUCAACUCAUUAGCAUGGUACUACUCCCUCAUUAGCAUAUUACCGGCCAACUGAUGCCAGGUGCAAAGCCUGCCCAUGCGCAGUACCGUUGUUCACAGGAGGGUGCCCUACAAGGCAGGGAACAGAUCUUAGAGCUUCUGGUAUGACCAAGGCAACUUUUAUAAAAGACAACAUUUAAUUGGAGCUGGCUUAUGGGUUCAGAUGUUCAGUCCAUUAUCAUCAAGAUGGGAAGCAUGGCAACAUCCAGGCAGGCAUGGUGCUGGAGAAGGAGCUGAAGUUCUGCAUCUUGAUCAGAAGACAGCCAGAAAAGGACCAAUGUCCUCCAGGCAGCUAGGAGGAAGGUCUCAAAGCCUACCCCUACAGUGACACCUUUCCUCCAGCAAGGCCACACCUACUCCAACAAGGCUGGAUCUCCUAAAAGUGGCCCAAGCACAAUCAAAUCACCACACAAGCUUUGGAGUCAUCUGGGAAGACAAAGACUCUGUUGAGGAAUUGCCUUAAUCCGAUCAACCUGUUGGUCUUGUUUUCCCAUUCGUAAGUCUGCUUUGAAAACCUGUCUGCUGAAGGGUUCAGACCAAGAAUAUCAUAUACAGGACUCCAUGACUAAGAGCAGAGUUUUUCCUGGGAUCGGAAGGACAUUGUAAGCUGUGAUGUGAUUUCCCUCUAGAUGAGUGGACUCCUGAUCCUAUCUCUUGAGUAGAAGUCACUCUACAAAGCAUCGGAACUGUGACAGUUAAAUUGUCAACUUCACAUGCCCUAAAAUCACCUGGGAAGAAAGGCUCAAUGAAGAAUUACCUAGAUCAGAAAAGUCUUCAUACAUUAGUACUUGGAAAACAGUGAUGUCUUCAGAAGUUCCCUUCUCUUUUAACUUGUCAGAAGUUCCCGUGGGCUAUUCAUUCAUCUUAGAAAAAGAAAAAAGAAAAAUUGUAUGCUGAAUUGCACAACUCCUCAGAGUUCGCUUACUUCUGUACAAAGGUUGGAUUUAAGUUUGUCCGAAUCCUAAGGACUUCAGUGAAGUCAGGGAACCCUUGAAGUUUUCUCCUCUCGCAUAAAAGAAAUAAAAAGAGUUAAUUUCUCCUUUUAGUUUAAAAUUAAUGUUUUUGACUUAUAAAGGAGACUGCUGCUCCUCAAGCUAUAGAUUUAGAACCAAAAGUAUUUUAUAAUAAAUAGUGACUAAAACGUUUAUUUGAAAAAUCCACAAUAGAGGUUGGCAUGCUCUGGAUUAGGGAGACUUCCUAUUUCCAUCAGAUAUUUAAUAGGUACCUGGAGUGUACUGGCUAUUCCUGGUGGUCAACUUGUCUAUGUCUGGAAUGAACUAAAACCCAGAAUUAGAAGGCUCACCUGUGAUGCAGAUCUUGAGGCUAGGAGGUACAAGUUUCUGACCUGGAUCUUGUCAUGGAGAUCUUGAGGCAUGGCGGCUACGAAUCCCAGGAGACCACUGAGUUCAAGGUCAUCUGGGACAAAGCAAGUCCCAGAUCCAGGUGUGGUGGUACACACUUUAAUCUGGGCCAAGGACAUUGGAAGAAGGAAGAUUCACUCUUCUUCACCUGCUUGCCUUGUGGGAGUGAGCAACUACUAGACCCUUGGACUUCCAUUCACAGCCGACCAUUGUUGGGGAGUUGGACUACAGACUGUAAGUUAUCAUAACAAAUUCCCUUACCAUAUAGAGACUACCCAUAAGUUCUGUGGCUCUAGAGAACCCCUGACUAAUACAUGGAGUCUCGAGGUGAUCCAGGUACCAUGCUAGCCUGGAACUUUUGAGAAGAUGCUGAUGACCAACCGUAGUUCAGAAUAGUUCUCGAUCAAAUCAGUCUGCAGGGAGGAUGGAUGCAUCCAGAUAUAAAAGCAUGGCUAUCUCUAAAGAGUCUUCUUCCCAUCAUUCCUAGAGUCAUUCUUUUAGAGAAGAGACAAGAAUUGUGGCCUCUUGAAGGAAGCCCAUGGGUCCCCAUCAUUCCCUGAGGGACUACUGACAGUUAAUUUCUGAAGGAACUACUGUUGUUUUCUUUCCUAAAUGGUGUAGCUACUGAUUUUUGCAAUGCUUUAAUAAAUAACAUCCCAGUUGUACUUGAGCAGUUAAUACUAAUUAAACACAGUAGGGCACACAAAAAGAUAGAAAAGUAGGAAGGAGAGUUUGAGGGAGAGAAAAAGAGGUACAGCAGGAGAGUCAAAAGUGCAAAGAGGAACAGGGUGUUAAAAGUUUAAAAUGUAUUAUAUUCAUGCAUAAAUACAUAAAAAUAAUUUUUAAAAUAUAAUAAUGGCCCCUUGGAGUGGCCUCUGCAUGUAUGUGACAUUGUAAACUUGCCUUGCUUGUCCACUAGGCCAUCCGUCUUUCCUUCAGAGUGUGACAUGGGUCCUUGUGAAGCAAAGGCUUCAGUCUCAUAUUAGAGAGGGGCAUGUGAGUGUGUGCUGGAUUAUGUCUCUGUGGUGGUUUGAAUAUGAGUCACUCCCCUGAGCUCAUAUAUUUGAUCAUUUUGUCCUGUUGGUGGCACUAAAGAAUUAGAAUGUGUAGCCUUGUUGAAGGGGCUGUGUUACUAGGAGUUGGCUUUGUUAAAGUGGAGUGUUGCUAGGGGUUGGCUUUGAGGUUUCUAAAGCCCACAGCACUCCUGGUCAUCUCUCUUUGCCUCCUGAUUAGGGAUAAAGAUGUGAUUCCCCCAGUUACUGCCCCAGUGCCAUGCCUGCCUGCCUGCUAUCAUGCUCCCCACUAUGAUGGGCAUGGACUCUACCCCUCUGAAACUAUAAACCCCAAAUACCCUUUCUUUUGUAAUUACAGCAAUAGGAUAGCAUCUAAGACACUCUCCUUGUUGGUCAUGAUGUCCUAUUACAGCAAAAGGACAGCAACUAAGGCACUCCCCAUGCUGUGUUCCUCUAGGCAGCCUUCUGUAAUGGUAAAUUUGCUGUGUCAACUUGAUGAAACCAUGUGGCAUCAAGAUGCUCCAGUAAGUGCUGCUUCUUGGUGUUUCUAUGAUGGUGUUUCCAGAUGGUAUGGUCACUUGAAUCAUAUACUUUGUAAUGGAGACCACAUUCCCCAGAGUGGGUAGAGGUCCACAAAUGUUUUCUGGUCUGUACAGAAUGCAAAAGUCAAAAGAGACUGAAUCACAGUCUUUGGUUGUAUGGUUGAGCCAUGAAAAACCCUCUGCCUUCCAACUUCAACUUACACUAUUUAAGCUCUUCUUUUGUCUAUUCUUUAAACUUGGACUGAAAUUUAUACUACCAGAUUCUUGGGACCUUCACGUUUAUAGAUGGAUCCAUAACUAUCAUGGGAAUUAAUUUCUAUUAUCUUUUUUUUUUUCUUUUCUUUUUUUCGGAGCUGGGGACCGAACCCAGGGCCUUGCGCUUGCUAGGCAAGAGCUCUACCACUGAGCUAAAUCCCCAACCCCAAUUUCUAUUAUCUUAAAUUACAUACAUACAUACAUACACACACACACACACACACACACACACACACACACACACACACACACACACACGGAAAUGGAGGCACAAAGAGGGCAUGCUACUUACUCAAAGACUUGCUGUCUACAGCUGUGCUGUGUCUCAAGUGUCAACACUCUCCAUCAGGGAUAUCUGAUGGGGCACUCAUGAUGAUGGUGUAGGCCAUAAGCCCUAUACUUCUAAAAUAGCAGCAAGUAGCUAGUUUAAUGAGGCUACUCUCAAAACACUAUUCUUUCUUCAACCCUAUAAAGGAGAAGGCAGGCUAUUGGUUGUUUCAUGUCUCUGUAAGUUUCUCCAAGGGUAUGUACAGGAAGAGAGGCCAUGGCUGUGACCUCACAGUGUGGUCAGAAAGUGACAUAUAAGGAUGGAGAGUUCUAAGCAUUAGAUGUGAGCCAUUGCGAAUUAGAAAUUGUAUUGUUUAUCAGACAUCAUGAGGAGAGAAUGUGUUCUCUCCCUCACUCAACUUAAUAACGGAACUGCAUUUGUGUUCACCCUGACGAUGGUGUCUGGGAACUUAUCUCUGUGGUAAUUCACUCUCCUGGCUUUGGGGAUGGCUGAGCCUGGCAGGCAUUAGAGAGAUGCCAAAGAACUCAUGAAAGUCCAUUCACAUUUUAAAGCUAUCCCAGUCUCUUUGAAUCAUCUCCUUUCCAGACUGGACUGUGAUGGAUACUGUAAGGCAGGUGCUUUGUGAUGGAUGUCCUGUCAGAGGAGAACAACUUACCAGGAAAUAAAACCUGGUGUUCCGGGCUUGAAACAACCGGGAACUUACUAAUCUGGCAUCACAAUAAAAAGGAAUUUUGCUACCAUGGAGUUCUGAAAAGGCUGGAUUUGGAGAGUUGGGAGAGCUAUCCAAGGUGAGGUUAGAGUCCACAUACUCAUGACUCUGAAGCAUUCUAAUGUUCCAAGAUGGAUGUGUGUUGGCUAGUCUUAUGUCAACUUGAUACACGAACUAGAGUUCUCUGAAAGGAGGGAGCCUCAAUUGAGAGAAUAUCUCUGAAAGACCAACAGAAAUGAUCGAGCAAGCUCAGACAUAUUCAUUUGCACCUAGAAGCAGUGGUACCUUCUAGACAGCGUAUUCUCAGAAGAAGAAAAAAAGAAUGCUGGGUAGAACAGAGUGGAAUAAAGUAGACGCUGAAGAAAGGCUGACAAAAAAAUGAAACUCCUGCAGCAUUUCACUCUGGCCAAGCAGAAGAGCAUCAAUUUCUUCCUUCAAAGAGCAUUUACUAAGAAUGUGCUGUUCGGGCGACAGAUGCUGUGAGAGGAACUGAAUCUAAGCACAUAGAUGAAAGUUUAUUCCCCCACACGGUCCAGGCAUUUCUCUGCGUCACCACCAUAUCUCUUUGGUGAUCACUGUUGUUAAAUAACUAAUGAUAUUUAGGGCGCAUCUUCCUGUGAAACCUGUCAAUUACCUUUACAGUGGGCACAAAAGAGAAGAAGAUUGAAGAAAAUAUAGGUCUCAGGUUCUCCCCAGAAAUCUUCUAGAUGUAAUACAAGAAGGGGAGGGAGCAUAAGUGUAUCUUAGUAAUUAGAAUUGGAUGAAUUUGGCAGAUGUGAUGCAGCCUGGCCUCUGAUGAUAUAUUGGUGGAGACAACUUGAGCCUUGAGCCACAUGGUCUUUCAUAUUUGGCUCAGGAUGAGCUGUUUGCUUGUUUCCUUCACAGAGGCACUGUGUUCUGUCAAUAUUGCCGUAUGCCAAAAGCUGUGCUUGACAUUUCUCCCUCGGUGCCACAUUCUCUGACCUUCUGAAUCAAUCUGUGGGUCAGACCCUAACAUUAUUCAUAUUUCACAGAUCAAAUCAAUUACUGAGCUAAGUAAUGUAAAAUAGUUCUGGAGGUCAGAGGUCUGAAAUUCAUCACUGGAUUCAAAUUAAGCUCUCUGUAGCCCUGUUUUGUUUGCUUGUCUUCAGAGACUGUUUGGGACUGUCCUUACUUUUGUGAUGUUAUCAUGACUACCCACAUUUCUUAGCUCAGGGCUCAUUCAUCUCCCUACCUCCAGAUUCAACAGAAUCAAGUUGACUCUCAAUCAUGCUUGUUUCUCUUUCUCCCACGUCCAUCCACUUAGAAGAAUGUCAUGAUUGUGUGGAGCCCAUCUGAAAAGGAACAAUGUCUUCCCUUCUCAACUUCUCAUGAGUAGCCUUAAUUUGGUCUACAUGAAAAUGAACAUAUGCACAGAGAACAUGCUCAUGCUUUUUCAAAGAGUGGAGAUUGGGAUUCGAAACCUUUGCAGGCAUGUGUGCGUGUGUGCGUGCGUGCGUGCGUGCGUGCCUGUUCCUCAUAUUGGAUGGUGAAUAGGCAUGCAGGAGAAGUCACGAUUAAAGUGGCAAAACUGUGUGCAAAUACACAAGCCCCUAGGGGUUCUUACAGGCUGAUCGCUGACAACCAGUGGGGGUGUUGCCAGUUGCAUCCUGGACUCACAAAGCAGACAUGCACUUUGCUAAGAACAGACUCUUGCGUCAUCUAAUGGAUCAAAAUGAAGGAUGGAUGAUUUUUGAGUCAGGAGGGUGAAAGCACCUGAAUGCCCUGUAAGUGCUACCUGCCUUUUACCUCUGCAAAAGCACUGCUUUAUUGGAAAUGAUCAUUUCCUAAAACAAAGCCGGAACAGUAGGAGCUUUGGGUUUUGUACAAAGCUACCCUGAAAGUCAGUCUAGCUCAUCUCCUGCUGGUGAAAUAAAUGCUGGAGAGCCUCCCUUCAGAA